rnacentral:rRNA from 1 species
ACCCGCACAAGCGGUGGAUGAUGUGGAUUAAUUCGAUGCAACGCGAAAACCUUACUACCCUUGACAUGUCCGGAAUCCCGAAGAGAUUUGGGAGUGCUCGCAAGAGAACCGGAACACAGGUGCUGCAUGGCUGUCGUCAGCUCGUGUCGUGAGAUGUUGGGUUAAGUCCCGCAACGAGCGCAACCCUUGUCAUUAGUUGCCAUCAUUUGGUUGGGCACUCUAAUGAGACUGCCGGUGACAAACCGGAGGAAGGUGGGGAUGACGUCAAGUCCUCAUGGCCCUUAUGGGUAGGGCUUCACACGUCAUACAAUGGUCGGUACAGAGGGUUGCCAACCCGCGAGGGGGAGCUAAUCCCACAAAGCCGAUCGUAGUCCGGAUCGCAGUCUGCAACUCGACUGCGUGAAGUCGGAAUCGCUAGUAAUCGUGGAUCAGCAUGUCACGGUGAAUACGUUCCCGGGUCUU